AGGCCAGGUCACCCGCUUAGGGGAAGUGCAUUCUCAGCAUGAAGUGACCUCAUCUUCUGGGGAUGAACAGGGCCCAUGUGACAGAGUACCUGAUUGGUGCUGUCCAGAAAAUUCCAGAUUGAUUAUUAAAAGGUCACAUUCCCGGGACAGGUUUGCAAUUGUAAGCAAGCCUUGUUUGGGGGUGCAAAUUCCUCCAUUUGGGGCUUGUCUCUUUUUCUCCACACUGCACUCUGCCUGGCCCAUCUCCCAGAGGUUGUGGCGCCACGUGCAAUGGCUUCUGCAGCUGCUCCACCUCGGAGGGCUGGUGUCCUGGCUAGUCAUGACCCCUCAACUCCCCCUCCCAGGGACGGAGAACUGUUCUUGUAAGGCCUGGUGGCUCUCCACAUCCUGCACGGAAGACAGGCUGAUGGCCAGGCGACUGGGCGUUCCCCUGCACAGCGGCGCUGGCUCGGUGAGGCCCCACCCACAGCUCGCUUUCCUUCUUCACUGGCUCACCUCUUUCCCCCUCUUGUUGGGCUGACACUCAGCAAUAAAGCCUUAGCAAGCGAGCUAAGACUCCCCAGCACACGGGAAUACCAUCCUGCUGUCAACAGGAUGACGUGACACCUCGUACCCACUGGGAUGAAAGACUCCAGGAGUCAAGUAAUAACAGGGAUGGACAAGGGCAUUGAGAAAUCAGAGCUCUCGUGCCCUACUGGUGGGGUUUUGAAAUACUGCAGCUGCCAUGGGAAAUGGCCCAGCAGGGCUGCGGAUGAUCCAAGAGAGUUACCCAGGCCCGGCUGCACUGUUAGCAGCCCCACCCAAGAGCAGGAGAAACACAAGUCUCUGCAGAACUUCCACACAAGCAUCUACAGAAGCACUAUUCAUCACAGCCACAGAUGGAAGACAACACAGCGGUCCCAUCAACUGGCCAAGGAAUAAACAAAACGCAGUAUUUCCGUAUAAUGAGAUACUGUUCAGCCCUAAAGGAAUGAAAUACUGAUACAAGAUACAAUGUGGAUGAACCUGGAAAUAUUAUGCUAACUGAAAGAAACCACUCACAAAAGACCGUGUACUGUCUAAUUCCAUUCACAUGAAACUCCCUAACAGCAAGACCUAAAGAAAGAAAGCCGGUCAGUGGCUGGAGACGGGAGGAUGGUGGGGAUGGGUAAUGGGUGACGGCUAAAGCAUGUGGGAGUUUCUUUUUGGGGUGAUGAAAAUGUUCUAAAAUGAGACUGCUGAUGGAUGCACAGCUCUGUGAAUGCAUCAAAAGCCACUGAAUUGUACACUUUACAUGGGUGAAUUGCUCAGUAUGUGAAGUUUAUCUCAAUAAAGCCAUUAAAAAUGAUGA